CCAUUUAUCUUCUUUGGUGGUUGUUGGGGCUUCAGUGAGAAAUUUCUUCCAUAGGCUCACAUAGUUGAUCAUUUGGUCCUGGCUGCUGAGGGCGUUGUUUGGGGAGACUACAGAACCUUUAGGAAGUAGGAAGAUGUAUGUCACAGUGGGUGGACUUUGAGAGUUUAUAACCUUGCCCUGCUUCCUGCUCACUCACUCAUGUCCCACACCCACCCUGUGUGCUAACAAAACCAAUCAACCAGCUUCCUGUUCCUACUAACAAGCCUUUCCUACCAUUAUGGACUUCAGCCUUCUGGUAGUAUAAGGCAAAAUCAACUAUUUCCUCCUUAGAUUGUUUUUGGUUGUGGUGUUUUAUCACAGCCACAGAAAAGUAACAACAAUCUGCUAGGAAAGGCAUUGUUGAGGUCACAAUAGCUUCUCCAGGCACAUGUCACUGAAGUCAUCAUAGGACGAGUGCUGGGCUAAACCCAACAUUUCAGGACGUUCAUGGUAACUAUAUGAACCAGACAACCAGAGUUGAUGAGGACUGCUGGCCCUUAUCCAGGUUUUGAUGGGUGUCCCUUGAUGAAUUCAAAUUGGACUAAGAAGACAUUGAGAAGUUUUUCCAUGAGUUUCAAGUGCUGGUGGUGAUUUGACAUCAGUCUGCAUCUUGUGAGACAUUUCUGUCCUUCUGACUAGUGUCUAUUUGAGAGAAGCACUGUGAAGUUUGUACCACAAUUGGUCUUGGUGCAGGGUGCCUCACUGGCCUGGAACAUCACCAAGUAGGCUAAGCUAGGUGACCAGCAAGCCUCCAGGGACCCAGCUGUCUCCACCUCCCAUCUCACUGCUGCUGGGAUUUGAACUGCAUCGCCACACCUGGCUUUUUACAUAGGUUCUGGAGACUCCAAGGCCUUGUCAACUGAACCAUUUCUUCAGCCAUACUUGUUUUUGUUUUUUCGUUUUGUUUUGUUUUGUUUUGUUUUGGUUUGGUUUUUUGGGGUUUUUUUCCUUUUCUUUUUUUCGGAGCUGGGGACCAAACCCAGGGCCUUGCACUUGCUAGGCAAGCGCUCUACCACUGAGCUAAAUCUCCAACCCCUCGUUUUGUUUUGUUUGGAGAUGGGGUCUAGCUAUGUCGCCUAGGCUGGUCUCAAAGCCACAACCUUCUGUCCCCCAAGUGCUUGCUUGUUCCACUAAUGGCUAGUUUUACUGAGUUAUCACUGGUGUGUGUGUGUGUGUGUGUGUGUGUGUGUGUGUGUGUGUAGUGUGUGUAUAUGUGUGUGUGAUAUACUCAUAUAUAUGAGUAUAUAUGUGUGUGAAUGUGUGUGAGUGUGUGAGUGUAUAUGUGUGUGUGAUAUACUCAUAUAUAUGAGUAUAUAUGUGUGUGAAUGUGUGUGAGUGUGUGAGUGUAUAUAUGUGUGUGAUAUACUCAUAUAUAUGAGUAUAUAUGUGUGUGAAUGUGUGUGAGUGUGUGAGUGUAUAUAUGUGUGUCUACGUGUGUGAGUAUGAGUAUAUUUGUAUGUGUGUAUGUGUGUGUGAGUGUGUAUGUGGUAUGUAUGUGUGUGUAGUAUGUAUGUGUGUGAGGUAUGUGUGUGUAGUAUGUAUUUAUGUGUGUAUAUGUGUGUAUGUAUGUGUAUGUGGUAUGUAUGUGCAUAUAUGUAUGUGUGUGUAUGUGUGUAUAGUGUGUGUAGUAUGUGUGUAUAUGUGUGUGUGAGUAUACGUAUGUGAAUGUGUGAGUGUGUGAAUGUACAUGUGUGUAUCUACGUGUGUGAGUGUGUGAGUAUGUGUGUAUGUGAGUGUGUUUGUGGUAUGUCUGUGUGUGAGUGUGUGUGUGGUAUGUAUGUGUGUGGGAGUGUGUGUGGUAUGUGUGUGGUAUGUGUGUAUGGUAUGUAUGUGUGUGGGAGUGUGUGUGUGGUAUGUGUGUGUGUAGUAUGUAUGUGUGUAUAGUAUGUAUUUAUAUGUGUGUAUGUGUGUAUGUGUUUGUAUGUGUAUGUGGUACGUAUGUGUGUGGGUAUAUGUUGGUAUGUGUGUUUGUGUGUAUAUGUGUGUAUGUGUGUGCAUGUGUGUGUAGUAUGUAUGUGUAUAUAUGUGUGUAUAUGCAUGUAUGUAUAUAUGUGUGUAUAUGUGUGGGUAUGUAUGUGUGCAUGUGUUUGUAUGUGUGUGUGUAUGUAUGAGCUUGUUGUAUUCAUAUACAGGCGCACUAGCCUAUUCAUGCCCAUGGUAGAGACUAAAAGGUGUCUUCCUCUACCCCUUUCCACCUUAUCUUUUUCACAAGGUCUUUUGCUAAACUAGAGCUCACAGUGUUAGACACACUGACCAGUCUCUCUCCAGAGCCCACUGUGCUUCGAUGAAUGUGCUGCCAUCUCCAGCUUUCAUCCGGUUCUCUCCAGGGCCUCAUUAGCAUUCUCGUCAUCUGCCAAAGUCGGCUCUUCCUUGGCAAGAACAAAGCAGAACCUUCAUCUUAUCUGCAGGAGAACACCAGGGUUCAGUUUCCUCUGUUCACUUGAUGCUGAGAAGAGCCUCAGUCCAGGGCACUGUGCCAGCUUGUGCUAAAAACCAGCCUAGGAGCUUCGAGCAGCAACCUGAGCGGCCUGUGGAGCCAGGCUGCAUUCCCAGCUGCAAACAGCCCUGCAAAAUGACUCCGAGGAGGAGGUUGGAGAAAGGAGUGCACCGUGACCAGAUUAGCAACUGUGGGUAUUCACCUGAGCAAAAGGUCAGGAUUCAAAGAUGGAGGACCUCUGCCUUCUAGUAGUCAGAACACUGUGUUUUUCUCAUCUGUAGGGUGGGAAGCCCAUUAAGCUCUCUCUUUUCUCACAACACAGGGCUGUUGUGAGGAUGGUGAUGAAGUAAACAGGUAAGGCCUGCAGAGUGAGGAAAGGUUGAUGUGUUUUAUAGCAGCAUGAUACAGCAAGAUGGCGUGCCUCAGUGGACCCAUUCUGAGGCACACACCCCCUCCCCACCACCGCCCUGAGGUGUCAGCCAUGUGAUGGGUCUGGUAUAAAAUAUAAAAUGAAGUUUAUCUGGUACCUGGAAAGGGGAUCAGAGAAAGAAAGGGGUCAGAAAAAGACAGAGAGAAGAGAGAGAACAAGGAAAGAGGCUGACCAGGAACAUGUUGGGAGAGAGAGAUGAUGGAGGGAGAGUGAGAAAGUGAGAGAGAUAACAUGGAGGGUCCUUUUACAUGUCAAUCAGGCUCAAUGUGGCUGUUGCUAGGUAACUGUUGGGCAGAACCUAGAGGAAAUGCUAACACAAGUGACUCCCACAAUCCCUGCAAGCUGUAUCUUCUUAGACAAGCUGAGGAGCCAGGACAUGCUAGUCCUCAUUUGACAAGCCAAAAGGUAGCAAUGAAGUGAAGUAGCCCGGCAGUGGAAAGCACACGAUGGGGAAAAACUGACUCUGGAGGGUGCCUGAAAGUCUGCAGAGACUAGCUCCAGACACAGAGGAGCUCAAGAAGUUCCCUAGGCCAUCCAAGGUCAAACAAAUGGAAUGCAGUAUGGGCCUCUUUUGCUUCAAAGGUACUCUCUCUGCCUUCCACAGCCUCUGUUUCUGGAUUGCCUUCCUCUUCCUCUGCCUGUAGAGAGGCUGGACAUGAUACAAGAAUGAGUUAGGAAGGCAACCCUUCUUCUAGACAAGCCAAACUGCAUCCUAACACAUACAAGACUUAUUGUCUCCACCUUCAGUGCCUAAGAGGCCUAUACUGAAUGUCCAGUUGCAUGAUCUUGGGGAGUUUAAGACUUCUCUGGUUCUUCAUUGUUUUCUCAGUGAGAAGGGUACUUUUCAAAAAGCUUGUGGGGACUGGGGAGAUAGCGCAACAUGAGGACUUGAGAUCAAAACCCAGAACCCACAUAAAAAGCCAGGUGUGAUAACACAUGCUUGUCAUCCCAGCAGUGGGGAGGCAGGGAAGUUUGCUAGCCAGCUAAGGUAGUCAAGUCAGCAAGCUUCAAGGCUAUGAAAGUCCUGUCUCAUAAAACAAGGUAAAUAGCACUAAGAAAGGAAAUCUCAGGUUGACCUCUGAUUUCUGACACCCCCCACACACACACACACACUCAUAAAAGUGAAGAUGUUUGCAGACAGUAGAGAACAAGUAUCACCAAGUUGGCCCCAGAAUUAGUGACCCAUUUCUCCGGAUUCUACAACCAGCCCCACACUUCUAAUGUUCUCAUUGGAACCAUGAAGUGGUUGGUGACUUAACUCACUGAGGACAGCCACAGGUUGAAUCUAUGGGGAUCUUCCAGGCACAGCCUCCUUCCCUUAGGGUUCCAGUUGCCAAGGCUGCUUCUCACUGACACCAGAAGAGAGUAGGUCUGUUCUUCCCCUGGGCUGGAAGCAGUGUUCUGCUGACAAGAAUGGCCCUUGGAGCUAACACUCCCACCAGGCACACAGGAGAGCCAUGGGGAAUAUACCACUCAAAGCCUGGCCUAGAAACUGCUCCCCAACCCUAGGGACCUAGAGCUCUCCAGUUCCACCCCUGGAGUCAGCAGAGAAGAAGGGUCUUCAGCGAGCUUCCCAGAGAGGCUGAGCCCUUCACAGCUAACCAGGGAACUCCAAGCAUCAACAGAAUUUGAGAGGACAUUGAAGGACCCAAGUCAGAGCCUGGGAGGAUCUACCCUACAGUGAAAGCUCAUCUUAGCUUUUAUCUACCUGCACAUAAAGCCUUUAUCUCCAAACACCAUGCACAGAGAUACGACCAUUUCCUAUUUCAUCUCCCAGCUCAAUCAUGAUCUCUUCAACACAGUCACCAGUACCUGGCAGAGAGCCAGGCAUUUAGUAAACAUGCUUUGAGUUCAGAGAGAAGGAGCUCAGCUGGAUUCUCUGGGUGUUGUCAACUGUACUUGAGAGUUCUGUGUCAGACUUUUCAAUGCUGUUACAAAUACCCAAUCAACAUAUUGUAAAAGGAGCAAACAUUUGUUUCGUUUCACAGUUUCCCAGGUUUCCACUCAUGGUCUGCUUGGUCCAUUGCUUUCAGGGCUGUGGUAAGCAGAGCAUCCUGAAGUAGAGACAUGUAUGCCUCACCUUGAGCCAGCUGAGAAGCAGAGAAGGGAAAACAGGAAGGGACCAGGCCAAGAUGUAAGGCCACGCCCCCACGGGCCUGCUUCCUCUUAUCAGCCCUCACUUCCUGCCUUUUGCGGUCACCGAAUACUGCUGCCACAUUGUGACUCCAUAAGGAGUGAAAUAGCGUCUCGUCUCGGCCUUUUAGCUAAGAUCAUGUGUAACAUCAGGAGUGAAUCCAUUGAUUGGGUCAGGAUCCCCAGGAUCCGGUCACUUCCCCAAAGUCCCUAGUCAUUUUUCUAUUGCUGUAAUAAAACGCCCUAACCAAAGAAGACGUUUAAUUUUUCUUAGUUCCAGAGAAUGAGAGAGGCUACAGUGAGGGAGCAGAAGAGCUGAGAAUUCAAAUCUCGAUCCACAAGCAGGAGGCAGAAAGUGCACUGGAGCGUCAAAGCCCUCGGCAGCAGCACUUUCCCAACAAACCCGUACCUCUUUUUUUUUUUUUUUUUUUUUUGGUUCUUUUUUUCGGAGUUGGGGAUCGAACCCAGGGCCUUGCGCUUCCUAGGCAAGCGCUCUACCACUGAGCUAAAUCCCCAACCCCCAAACCCGUACCUCUUGAUCCUUCCCAAACUGCUCCACCAGGGAAGGAUUCCAAGGAUUCAAACAUGUGUCCAUGAUGGCCAUUCUCAUUCAAGCCACCACAGCCCCUCAUCUUGAAGCUAGGUUCUAGAACAUAAACCUGGGGGAGACAUUUUACAUUGAAACGGUAACAAGUUCACAGGAGCAACACAAGCAAGGGAAGGUUAGGAGAUAUUUGAACCGUUGUCCUGUGAUCCACCUGCCAAUACAAGGUAUAGUACUUUAAACACAGUCUGUGCUGGCAUUGUAGCUCACUUGGUAAAAUGCCCGCUCAGCAUGCGUGAGGCCUGGGUUCUAUUCCCAGCCCCACAUUAACAGGGCAUUGGGGUGCAUAAGCCUUAGUUGUCUUUACUGGCUGAGCCAUCUCACCGGCCAGACCUCCAGUGUUUUAGAUAAGGAAUAUUCUGUCUGCAUAUAUGUAUUAUGUGUUUUCUAUUGAAUCAUAACACAUGUCAUGUAAUCAUUUGUAAAAUAUAAACUAUUACAUAGAAUCUAAAUUAUAUAAUAUAAACUGUAUAAGUUACACACACACACACACACACACACACACACACACACACGAAAUCAGUGCUGGAUAUUGAACCAAGGUCCCUAUACCAUGUCAUACCUCAUGCCAUGGGCUAUACCCUCAGUUGGAAAUGACAUCUCUCAGGCAUCCUAGCACUUUUAUUAACAUCAUGGCUACUAAACACCAUGGUAUUUGAGAUCCAAGACCUUUAGGAUGCAAACCUUAGAGGCUAGAUAGGCUUGUGGAUUGGAUUAGAGCUCAGUGAGUGUUAACUUACAAAAGUGGGAGAAAGGGCAUUCCGAGCUAGUUAGCAUCUGUUCUGCACUCGUCAUUAGCUCUCUCUCUCUCUCUCUCUCUCUCUCUCUCUCUCUGUGUGUGUGUGUGUGUGUGUGUGUGUGUGUGUGUGUGUGUGUGUGUGUGUGUGUGUGUCGUCUUCUCAGCCCAAACUCCUGGCACUGAACUCUCUCUGCACACUGUGCUCUGAGAAGACACUGGCAACUCUUGAAGUUGCCACCCCUUCCAGUUGAUUGGCUCUUUCAGUACUCAGAACUGGUCUGGUUUUUAAGGCCAUGUACCUAUUUUACAAUUUAGAAGCCCGGACUCAGAGAGAUGAAGUUAUGUCCCUCGAAGCACUGGACGAAAAAGCCAGGAUUCAUUCCCAGUCUAUCAGAAUCCAAAACCUAAAUUUCUUCUCUCUCCUUAAGCCUGGAGCCCAUGAAAGAGAUUCUGAGUCUAUUGCGAGAGUCCUAGAAGCUCCCUAGUACUUCAUUUAUUUUACUCUAUUGAGACAAGGCUCCAUGUAAUUCCAGACUGGCUGUGUCCCAGAGUCAACAUGUAGGAGAAGACAGCUUACCUUUACUAGGUUAUGGGUGUGUGCACGUAGUGCUAGGGAUCCAGCACAAGGCCCUAGCACACUAGAUAAGCACUGUUUGAGUUGGGCAUGUGAGGGAGGGAGGACAUCUAAGUCCCAAUACUGUGCUGCCCUGGCGUUGACCUCUAGCUGGGCCUAGAGCCAACCAGGAGGGAGCAUAGGGAAGUAGGCUCCUAGGAAUUUUCCAGUGGCUUAAAGGGAAGAGCCUAACCUUUAGGAGAAAUUUCCAAAAAAAAUAGUUCAAUAAUAAUUUUUCCUAUGGCAUGGGUCACCCCAGGACAUCCCAGGUCAACUCAGGCUGUGUGUGAAACAGGAAGAAGUCAGACUUGAACCCACAUCUUGGAGAAUUUUAACUUCUAUCAUUUAAUUUGAACUCGUGUGAAAGAGUUACCCUGUGCAUUUUUUUAAAAAAGUUCUUAAAAGUCAUUUUAUUUAUGUGUGUGGGAGUUUUUCCUGCAUGUAUAUCUGUGAGCCACUUGCCCACCUGGUGCCUACGGAGGCCAGAAGAGGACACUGGAUCCCCUGGGACUUAUGAGCCACCACGUGCUAUGUGUUAUUACUCAUGUACUAUAAAUCAAACCUUAGUCCUCUAGAAUACCAGCCAAUACUCAUAACCUCUGAGACAUCUCUCCAAGAUCCCCUCUGUGCAGUUUUUCUAGAAGCUAAAAUAGGAUUUUAAAGGUCUAAGAACUUGGGCCAACAAGUAGGUGUGAAUCUGGGAGGCUGAGACAUCAGGGAGAUUCAAGGCCAGAUUUUCUUACAAGUGAGCUGAGUGACUGACUGAACCUUAGUUUCAUUAUCCCCAAGGUGGGGAACAAUAAAUCCAAGUCAGUAAGACGAUGGGUAGAGAUGCUCAGUAUGGAUUGAAUGCCUUGUCACUGACUGAGGGGACACACUAGGUACCACCCCUAUAGCAGAACAGAAAAGCAAAGCACUGUGAACUCAUUGCAAGUUUCAUGUGACACCAGAGUCAUCGUAAAAGAAGACUCAAAGACCUGGAAGAACGCUCCAUUUUUCUCCUUAGGCUCAAUGGAGAAUGGGCUAGCGUGUAGAAAUGGAAUUGAACAGAACUGCCAAACCUUAAUGGUAACAAACAAGAUAUCCAUCAAAGCCUGCUUGUUUAAAUUGUUUACUUUAUAUUUUAUGUGAGUGCGCUGCAGCUGUCUUUAGACACCAGAAGAGCGCAUCGGAAUCCAUAACAGAUGGUUGUUGAGAAUUGAACUCAGAACCUCUGGAAAAGCAGUCCAAGCUCUUAACCACUUUACCAUCUCUCCAGCCCAUGUGCUCAGACUGUUGCCUUCCCUCUGCACCAUUCCCUCCCAUUCAUGUAGGUCAGACACUUGCCAUCUCCUCAUUUCUUCUUUGGGGAAGAAAGGUAAAUGUGGCCUUUCUAGGUUUCUCUCUCUCUCUCUCUCUCUCUCUCUCUCUCUCUCUCUCUCUCUCUCUCUUCCUUCCUUUUUUCUUUUCUUUCUUCCUUCCUUUUCCCCCUUUUCUCCUUUUUCCUUUCUUUUUUCAGUUUUCCUUUAUUUAUUUGUUUUUCAAGACAGUUUCUCUGUAUAGCCCUGGCUGUCCUAGAACUUGCUCUAUAGACCAGGCUGGUCUCAAGCUCACAGAGAUCUACCUGCCUCAGUGUCCCAAAUACUGAGAUUAAAAGUGUGUGCCACCACCACCCAGUGGUCUUUCUACAUUUUACAGCUUGCUUAUUUCAAAGAUUUUCUGGGGAUAAAUGAAGAAAAGAGAAAGAUGGGGAACACUUCCAAUAUCUCUCACUUACAGUACUUAGCAUGUCAAAGCGGAGUACCAGGGGUGUUGUAUUCCACUACCCAUGCUUCACUUGCCUCCACCAUGGUGGUCGGCUGUCUAGGGACAGGGCAUGGCUUAAAUGAUCAGCAGCUAUGAUUAUCAUAGGAGACUUAUGCAAGACUGGAUUCAUUAAUUCUCUAUCACUGGGAGAAGGUACCAUGGGCCUGGCCUUAUCCCAAGGAUUAUAGACAGUUAACAGUUACCAGGGAGAGAAAUGAUUUUUUCUUCAAUGGUGUGUUUGUCCAUAUUCUCAUAAGUAAGCCCAAUUAAACUCACUGGCUCACCAAGCUACACAGGGAUAAAAAUCAUGUCUUGUUUGUGUCAUCGAAGCCCUAUCUGCAUUGAGUAGAUGUUUGGUUACUAUGUAGAUGAUGACUCCCCCACCCCCUUCCUUCUGUGAGGGAACAACAAUGGCCUGAUCUUCAGAGUCUCUUGAGGUGUCACAAUGGCUUGGGUUCUAUGGCAAUGACCAUUAUGCAUUCUGCAUUGUGACCAAAAGCUUACACAGAACUCUUCCUGGCUCUCUCUCUCUCCCUUAGCCCUUUUAUCAUGGCGGGUGCUGUUCUUGUCAGAGCUGGCCCACUGCAAGGCCUGAGCAGCAGCCUCAGGGUACCUAGAGACCUAGGCAGCAUUCUGGGUGCCUCAACCAAGACCAGAGCUGGAGCCUGGGUCAGAGUAGCCACUGGCUUUUCUGGAACUGACUUGAGCAAAUGAUGGCAUCGUUUUAACCAUCUUUGCCAAAUGAAGCCUGAACUUGAGGUCAGUGACCUGAAAUAGAUGGAUAGAGGUCUUCACUUGGCAGCUAGCACUCUGCUCUGGGCCCUGCUUUGUAGCUCAAGCAAUAUUCCUUCUUCAGGAAGGUAGAGAGAUCAAUAGUGGGAAAGCCCACGAGGCUCAGUGCGUAUAAAUGCAACCUUGUCGAGCACCA